UCCCAUCCUUUUGGACUAGCCUCAUAAUU
rnacentral:piRNA from 2 species